rnacentral:lncRNA from 1 species
GCAAAGGGAUCGAGUCACAGGAUGGCACCUGAGCAUCCCUGUCUCAGCUCAGGACUCCUUGCUGAGCUUCCUCCUACAGCUGAAGGCUUUGAAUCCCAGCGACAUUCAUUCCGCAACAUACUAACCACAUCCUGGUGAUCCCAGCUUCAGAGAGGAGAACACGGGGACUUGAGUUCACUGUUGCGGUGAAGUCCUGCUCUGGCCCCAGGCAGAAGUCAAGAUCAAAGCUCACACUGCAAAUAUUGUGCUGAUUAAAACCAAACUUUCUGCUUUUGAUGUGGGCCAACCUCCAUUGCUGGUAGGAACAAAGGAGGAGUAUAGCAAAAAGAUACUAGCAAUGUUUUCUUAUCCUGGGUUACCACCUACAUUGUUUCUUGGGGAGAAGGAUGCCUGACUCCUACAGAGUAAUGAGACACAAGGAGGGUGCCUGAGCCAUUUCUACAGACUCCAAGAGGUUCUAACCAGCCCAGGUCACUUCCACUUUUGAGACCUGUGGACACGUUAUGAUGUUAUGAAAUGCCAGAGCAGGAUUACCAAAACUCUCACAUAUUUGUAAAUGCUUGUAUUUUGCAAAUGACCCUUAUUUACAACCAAAAUAAAACUUCGUUUGGGAACAAUGUCAAGAGUCUUAAUGUGAGGCCUUUUAUGAAUACAAGGCCUCCUGCUAAAUGGCCCACCUGCUUCCCCCUCAUAAGCCUGGUCAUAUCAGUACCCCCAGGAGCUUGGCACAUGGUUUUCACAUGGUGAAUAAUGAAAAAGUACUUCCUAAAUGAAUAAGUGCACACAUGGAUGAAUAAACAAUCUACAUGUCCUUGGGCUCUGCAUACUUCAUUGGGAAAAUAAUAAGGUGGCAACAGGGUUCUCUAAGAAGCGUGCAGAUUAAAGUUCCCCUCUAUGGUUGGCCAGAACCCAAAAAAUCACCUCACCAAUAGAUCUAAGGAACAGAAAUGAGGCCUUUUAAUUAGAAGUAAGAAUUAACAUUCCAGUUUUAAUAGUAAGCAUCUAAUACCAAUCUUCAACUAGGAUACAUUUCUACCACUAGAUUUAGAACGGGGAAGGACAGAACUUUCCAGGAGCCAUAGACUGGGUCCUUUGAAAGAAUUGCUACUAUGGUUUCAACUGCUGUUGUGUACUUCAUACAUGUUUUUGCAAGGAUUAGGAGGAAAUAGUUGGUUAAACAAAUCCUUACACCAUGGAUAAAUAGGGGCCUCAAAAGACUGACAAACAUGUUGAACUUGGAAAAAUCCCAAGACCAUGCAUCACAAUCUUGACACUACAAGUAUCUGUUCCCCACCCAACUGAGCAGAUGUUAUUGCUCUCAAAGCUCCAUUUUUCAGCCAAUGCCUCCUGCUAGAUUUACCCACUGAGGAUUUCUGAUUGAUAGCUAUAGAGAGGAGAGCCACCUUGAAGUUACAAUUUUUAAAAAAUCAGCCGCUAGAUUUUGGGUUUGAACAUCUCAAAACGAUAGGCCCCUUUCUCCCAAUUUGCCAUGGAUAUGUCCCAAACAGUCUGUGCAAGUCUGUGCUUCAGAUUCACAGCCCUUAGAAAGAGGAAAACAUAACUUGACAUCUACCUUCCUCACUGGCUUCAUGAAGAGGAUUAAUGAGUUCAUAAGCAUUAAGUACUUUGCAAGCCACAGGUGACUGGAAAACAUUAUUAGGACCACAUUUUUCCUAACAAAGUGGUUCAAGCUUUGAACAGAAGGUUAAAUCCCAGGAGAAAUAUCUACUUUUAAUACAGGAAGCUGGAUGCCUACUGUCAGGUAAUAGGAUGCCUGUUAAAAUGCCCUGGGUUAUCCAGUCACUAGUGACAGGGACAGAUUUAGACAAUAUGAGGGCAAGAGUAUCCCCCAAAGCACUGUUGAAAGUAACUGAAGUAAUAAGCAAUUCCAAUUAACAGUGGCAUCUGCAGCAGCAGCAGAAACACUUUGGUUAGACUGAUGUUUCUCUGAACUCACUCCCUUUCUCCAGUCUGAAAACCUUUGCUGUUUUGCAAACCACAGCUCUGUUAACAAUGUCCAGUCAUUUACUUCUGCCACAUCCAAACUUUGUGUGUGCACAAACAUGACCUAGUUGAACUGCAAUAAUUGUAUUUAUUUGAUACAACCCAGGUGGGUUCCAAGACUCCUGUUAGCAGGGAAAACACAAAGUCAUUAAGUUCACUUCGGGCUUAGAUAUGUCUCCUUCCUGUUCCCAGGAACAUUUCUUCCUGAAUCUAUAUUUACUCACAAAGUACAAAUAAUGUGAAAUGGCUAAGCAGCUAAAAACUUACAGAAAGAUCUCUACUACCCCCACAAAAUGAUAUUCUAUUUAUUUCGCAACCCAGGGUGCCUAAAACUCUAAAACAACUUUAGUCACCAAAAAAGGUGGAAACUUCAGAUGCAUUUAGGAAGGCAAUGACCUCUAAAUCAGGAAUCCUGACCUCUAAUUUCAUCAGUGCUCUGGCAUUUCUGCAAACUUUUCAUUUUCAGAACAAAAGGAUUUGUCUAGUAGGACAAUGAGGAGGAGAUUUUAGGAUGAGAAUGGAGGUAGGGAAAACACUUAUAAAGCUAUUGCAGGACUUCAGGAAAGACAUAAUAUGACUGAAAGAAAUUAGUGGUGGUGGGAAUUCAAACAUGGAUUGAUUUCCGAAGAGCAUCAGGCUUUUUGCUAGUAGCUGAGUCUUCAUUGCCAUCAAGAGUCCCUGUCUCUGUGAACACCCAACACACAUAUAAAUAACCUUGACAUAUAUUAACUGCUACAACUGUAGCAUGAAUAAAAUGUCUCAGAAUCACAAGUUGAGAAGCAAUUGAUUGAGACUGGAAUAGUCUAAAAAAACUGAAAAAACAAUGACAUAUUGAAUAGGAUUUCACCUAUAUCAGAAGGAGGGAAAUAGCUUUCUUGGCAGCAUGAUGCAUGCAUCUGUUUGGCAGGCUCAAUGCCUAGUGAGUCAUUUAUUCAUUUAUCCACUCCAUCAUUCAUUUGUUUAUUUAUUCAUUUAUUUAUCAGGCCUCUGCAGUAUGUUAGGCUCCACGUGGGGCCCUGGAUAUAUUAUAUUGAGUAAAGAGCAGUGGGCACAGAUGAAAAAGUAUUGGAUGUCAGGCUAUGAAGUUUCAGUCAUAUCCUGAUAGUCAUAGGAUCUAAUCAAGGAUUUUUGAGCAGGCAAAUGACAUGAUCACCACCUCUAUUAAGUAAAAUAGCUCUGGCCAAAAAUAAACUGUAAGGCUGGGCGUGGUGGCUCAUGCCUGUAAUCCCAGCACUUUGGGAGGUCGAGGUAGGCAGAUCACAAGGUCAGGAGAUUGAGACCAUACUGGCCAACAUGGUGAAACCCCAUUUCUGCUAAAAAUACAAAAAUUAGCUGAGCGUGGUGUUGUGUGCCUGUAGUCCCAGCUACUUGGGAGGCUGAGGCAGGAGAAUCGCUUGAACCUGGGAGGCAGAGGCUGCAGUGAGCCCAGAUUGUGCCACUGCAUUCCAGCCUGGCAACAGAGUGAGACUCUGUCUCAAAAUAAAAUGAAAUAAAAUAAAAUAAAAUAAAAUUGUAAAGUGGAGAGUUAGAAGCUGAUGACUGAGAGCCCAACUGUAGAAGAUAUUGCUGUAAUCUAGAAACAGGAUAAGAUCUGACUAGGACAAAGGAAGAGGGCAUAAAAAGAGGAAUAAAAAUUUGCAAGCUGUGGGUAAAACGAACUUUGAGAGAUAGGCAGGGACAGAGCCGGAGCGUUAGUUUUCUGGCUUGUGUUAAUAGAUAAAACAUUCGUCUGUUACCUAGAAGGGAGUUUGACAGGAGAGUGAAAGAUGAUAGUUUUGGUUUGAGGUAUGUCACGUUUGAGAAAUUUCUGGGUCGUCCAUGUAGGAACAUCCAGUGGACAUGCCUGAAGUUCGGGAUAGAGGCAAAGGCUAGAGAAAGGGAUUUGAGGGUUGUCUGCAAAAAACAAUAUAAUAUAUCCACGUAGGGCUCUAGAUAUAUUACAUUGAGUAGAGACCGGUGGGGGCUGAUGGAAAAGUGGUGGAUGUGUUGCAAAAAAGUAACAGUGGAUGACACCUGAUUAAAAGCCUAUUGAUGACAUAUAAGGAAUGAUGAUCUAGUUAAAAAAAAAAAAAAAAGAUCCGUGUCAGAGCAGGAGAACCAGGAAAGAGUGCUAUCACAAAGCCAACAAGGCAAGAAAGAAUUUCCAGAAAGAGGGCUGGUAUGCAGCAGAAAGUGCUGAAAACACAACUCCUUCUACAUUUCUUUUCACCCCACCACCAAAUUGGCUUGCCUCAUUUGCAGACAUAUCCUUGAAUAUCUCUUCUUAAGCUAUGCUUUAAUAUUUAUCUGUGACUAUUGCAUAUACAGUAGCUAAAUAUGAAACUCCAUUAACAUCAGUGUUUUCUGACUCCACUUUGGUGAGUCAUUCAACGUAAUCAGGACUUAGAAAUGAGCAACAGAUGUGUCACAUUCUUUGAGCAGUGCUCAAAGAAACCCAAAAUGGUCAACAUGUAAACUUUUCUAAAAUAUGUUUUCCUGACAUUAUGGAUGAUAAUGAGGUUUUCUAAAUUAUAAGUCAAAGCCAUUUACUUUAUAGCAUUUCCAGAAAAAUCUGAAUUGCAGAAAUGCCAUGUUUCCAAGAAACAGUAAUGGUUUCAACUCUGUUUUCUCUCUUAUGUCUUACUCUUUGGAUAACCAAUAGCAAAUUUCUGGAAGGGGAAAGCUGCAAAACCAAAUCAAACUGGCACCACAAAUGAUCAACUGACAUCUUCAUAGCAGUUUAGUUCAUGUUUAAAAUUGAAGAAUAAAGCACCAUACCUG